rnacentral:rRNA from 1 species
UACGUAGGGUGCAAGCGUUGUCCGGAAUUAUUGGGCGUAAAGCGCUCGUAGGCGGUUUGUCGCGUCUGCUGUGAAAAUCCAGGGCUUAACCCUGGACCUGCAGUGGGUACGGGCAGACUGGAGUGCGGUAGGGGAGAUCGGAAUUCCUGGUGUAGCGGUGAAAUGCGCAGAUAUCAGGAGGAACACCGAUGGCGAAGGCAGAUCUCUGGGCCGUAACUGACGCUGAGGAGCGAAAGCAUGGGGAGCGAACAGG